CAAGAGGUAUUUUAACUUUAGAAUUCUGGCUUUGGAGGUCAGCGGCGAGGGUGAAAAUCUCUCCUUUUUGA
rnacentral:tRNA from 1 species